rnacentral:snRNA from 1 species
AUACUUACCUGGCAGGGGAGAUACCAUGAUCACGAAGGUGGUUUUCCCAGGGCGAGGCUUAUCCAUUGCACUCCGGAUGUGCUGACCCCUGCGAUUUCCCCAAAUGUGGGAAACUCGACUGCAUAAUUUGUGGUAGUGGGGGACUGCGUUCGCGCAUUUCCCCU